AAACAUUUCAAUCAAGAAACAACUGCAUGACCAAGUGAUGUUGACAAUGCGACUGCAAGAGGAAAAAAGCAUUUUGGUGUUGGAGAUGGCACAACACUGCACAUGGUUGCAGAGCCUGGCAGUGGUUCUGAAGAACAAGAUAGCUGAGGAGGAUAAGGGAAAUGAGGGACUUUGCUGUCUCUUAAGAAGAAGACUGUCAGAGGUGUCAGAAAGGUUGCAGGUGCUCGUCCAACAGUACAAGACUGCUUUAGGCCCUGAGGCCUCUGCCCUACAUCUUGAAGCAGAAGAUCAAUGUGGCCUCAGUAGUCCAGACACCAGUGAGGAUGAAGAAGAAAACACAAUUUAGAUGGAAGCUGCACAAAGGACUGUGUUGAAGGAAAUGGACUUGCCUAGUAUUUGUGUAUUUUUAGUAUGCUGAUUGAUUUACCACAUCAAAAUCUGUAUGCAUUCUAUAUUGUUGAAAAUUAAACCUGUCUGUAGAUUGCCAAGCAAUUCAGUAAGCACCAGGGGCGUGUCUAUGUGGUGGCCAGGUGGCACCGGCCCCCCCUGAAAUUUGGCUG
rnacentral:lncRNA from 1 species